rnacentral:rRNA from 1 species
UGGUGGCGAUGGCGGAGGGGUUCCACGCGUACCCAUCCCGAACACGACCGUUAAGCCCUCCAGCGCCGAUGGUACUUGGACCGCAGGGUCCUGGGAGAGUAGGACGCCGCCA